rnacentral:rRNA from 1 species
GAUGAACGCUGGCGGCGUGCCUAAUACAUGCAAGUCGAGCGAACGGACGAGAAGCUUGCUUCUCUGAUGUUAGCGGCGGACGGGUGAGUAACACGUGGAUAACCUACCUAUAAGACUGGGAUAACUUCGGGAAACCGGAGCUAAUAACGGAUAAUAUUUUGAACCGCAUGGUUCAAAAGUGAAAGACGGUCUUGCUGUCACUUAUAGAUGGAUCCGCGCUGCAUUAGCUAGUUGGUAAGGUAACGGCCUACCAAGGCAACGAUGCAUAGCCGACCUGAGAGGGUGAUCGGCCACACUGGAACUGAGACACGGUCCAGACUCCUACGGGAGGCAGCAGCGGGGAAUCUUGCGCAAUGGGCGAAAGCCUGACGCAGCCAUGCCGCGUGAGUGAAGAAGGUCUUCGGGUUGUAAAGCCCUGUUGUUGGGAAAGAAAAUUUUCGUACGAAACCGUUGAGAGCAUGACGGUACCCAAACAAUAAGCCCCGGCUAACUUCGUG